rnacentral:rRNA from 1 species
AUGGCAUGUGUUAACAUGUACAACCCGGAGCACCACCAGUCGUCCUUCAUGGCGCCGCGGAUGUCCUUCUCCAGCGACUUCGCGCUGGAGCCGCCGCCCGCGUCGGCGCCGUCGGCGCGCGGGCCCGGGGACGCCGACUUCGAGUUCUCCGUCGGCAGCCGCCCCAUGAUGGCCGCCGACGAGCUCUUCUCCAAGGGCCGCCUCCUGCCGCUCCGGGAGGCCCCGCACGGCCAGAGCGGCCGGCCCACGACGCUGCGCGAGGAGCUGCGCACCGACGACCGCCACGGGCGCGCGCCCCGCGCGCCCAACAUCCGGUGGAAGGAGCUGCUCGGCUUCAAGAAGGCGAACAAGAAGGCCGCGGCCGCAGCCGCCGACGCCGGCGCCAGCACGUCGUCGGCCGAGGCCCACACGGAUCUUGGAGGUCACGGAGGCACGAGAGAGUGA